UAUCAUGGCGGCCAAAUUAUAACUUCAGAGGAACUUGUCUCAUAAUCGAUAAUCCUCGAUCAAUUUCACUAUUCUUAUAAAUAUCUUUAUACCUCCGUCAAAAUUUUUCUCCAACAAAAAAUUAAAAAAAUAAUAUACUAAUUAAAAAGUCAGGUCAAGGUGAAAUAAAAACUAGAGAAGAUUAGUUACUUAUUAAAAAAAUUAAAAGAAAAACAAUUAAAAUUAAUUGAAAAAAGGAUUUGAAAGUAUUUCAUCAAUAAAAAUCAAAAAUGAAUUUAACCAUUGGUGUACAUAUCGCCCGUCACCCUUAUCCAAAGAUAAGGUAAGUCGUAACAUAGUUGAAAUAUUGGAAAAUGUUUCAAGAACUCCUUACAGCUAAAAGCACUUCCCUAUUAAGAAAA
rnacentral:rRNA from 1 species